rnacentral:rRNA from 1 species
ACGAACGCUGGCGGCGUGCUUAACACAUGCAAGUCGAACGGAAAGGCCCUGCUUUUGUGGGGUGCUCGAGUGGCGAACGGGUGAGUAACACGUGAGUAACCUGCCCUUGACUUUGGGAUAACUUCAGGAAACUGGGGCUAAUACCGGAUAGGAGCUCCUGCUGCAUGGUGGGGGUUGGAAAGUUUCGGCGGUUGGGGAUGGACUCGCGGCUUAUCAGCUUGUUGGUGGGGUAGUGGCUUACCAAGGCUUUGACGGGUAGCCGGCCUGAGAGGGUGACCGGCCACAUUGGGACUGAGAUACGGCCCAGACUCCUACGGGAGGCAGCAGUUGGGAAUAUUGCACAAUGGGCGGAAGCCUGAUGCAGCAACGCCGCGUGCGGGAUGACGGCCUUCGGGUUGUAAACCGCUUUCGCCUGUGACGAAGCGUGAGUGACGGUAAUGGGUAAAGAAGCACCGGCUAACUACGUG